rnacentral:rRNA from 1 species
UACGUAGGGUGCAAGCGUUAUCCGGAAUUAUUGGGCGUAAAGCGCUCGUAGGCGGUUUGUCGCGUCUGCUGUGAAAACUGGAGGCUCAACCUCCAGCCUGCAGUGGGUACGGGCAAACUAGAGUACGGCAGGGGAGACUGGAAUUCCUGGUGUAGCGGUGAAAUGCGCAGAUAUCAGGAGGAACACCGGUGGCGAAGGCGGGUCUCUGGGCCGUAACUGACGCUGAGGAGCGAAAGCGUGGGGAGCGAACAGG